UUGUCGGGUAAGUUCCGACCUGCAUGAAUGGCGUAACGACUGGACCACUGUCUCCACGAGCGACUCGGUGAAACUGUAGUGGUCGUGAAGAUGCGACCUACCCGCAGCUAGACGGAAAGACCCCGUGAACCUUAACUGCAGCUUGGUAUUGGGUUUAGGCCCGGCAUGCGUAGCGUAGGUGGGAGGCUAUGAACCCCGCGUCUCGGCGCGGGGGGAGCCGCCGAUGAAACACCACCCUUGCCGUGCUUGAAUUCUAACCGCGACCCGUGAACCCGGGCGCGGGACCGUGCUAAGUGGGCAGUUUGAUUGGGGCGAUCUCCUCCCAAACGGUAACGGAGGAGCCCAACGGUCCCCUCAGCCCGGUCGGCAAUCGGGCAGCGAGCGCAAACGCAGAAGGGGGCUUGACUGCGAGCCCGAUGGGGCGAGCAGGGGCGAAAGCCGGGGUUAGUGAUCCGGCGGUCCCGGAUGGAAGGGCCGUCGCUCAACAGAUAAAAGGUACUCCGGGGAUAAC
rnacentral:rRNA from 14 species